UACGUAGGACGCAAGCGUUAUCCGGAUUUACUGGGCGUAAAGCGCGCGCAGGCGGCUCGUUACGUCUGAUGUGAAAUCUCCUCGCUCAACGGGGAGAGGCCAUUGGAAACGGGCGGGCUGGAGGGCAGUAGAGGCAGGCGGAAUUCCGGGUGGAGUGGUGAAAUGCGUAGAGAUCCGGAGGAACACCAGAGGCGAAGGCGGCCUGCUGGGCUGCACCUGACGCUGAACCGCGAAAGCCAGGGGAGCGAACGGG
rnacentral:rRNA from 1 species